rnacentral:rRNA from 1 species
GGGAAACUCACCAGGUCCAGACAUAAUAAGGAUUGACAGAUUGAUAGUUCUUUCUUGAUUUUAUGGGUGGUGGUGCAUGGCCGUUCUUAGUUCGUGGAGUGAUUUGUCAGGUUAAUUCCGUUAACGAACGAGACCUUAACCUGCUAAAUAGAAGCGCAUUUCUUCGGAAACGCGCCGUUCUUCUUAGAGGGACUCUGUGGCGUGAUAGCCCAGGGAAGUUUGAGGCUAAAA